UCUUAAUACUCAUUUGUUUUCGAUGCUCGCUAAUUUUAAUUAUCAAAAUCGCUACAGUUUAUGCACUUGGACCGCAACAGUGCUGAAAUUGCAUAUUCCGCCUUCAAUAGUCAGUUGUGUCAAUUUGUGUGAAAGUGUUAGUAGUGUAUAGUGGGAGCCUAAUUAAUUCAUAAGGAAUAUCUUUUAGGUUUUGUAUUCUUGGAUGUAACCUAACAGCAAUCGGCUCAUCCACAUGGUUGAACGGUUUACCCAUGGUGCUACCGCUGUAUAAGGGCAUGCGUCAUAUUGGCCCAUGAAUACGAAUCUUAUAGAACUUAUGAAUUAUUAUUGACUCUCACUCAAGAUAUUAUAGUGUGUAACUCAAUCGGUUUAUAAUUCUCAUAUUUGAGGUUCUCGUAUACAUGGAUGUAACCUAACAGUAA